UACGAAGGGGGCUAGCGUUGCUCGGAAUCACUGGGCGUAAAGGGUGCGUAGGCGGGUCUUUAAGUCAGGGGUGAAAUCCUGGAGCUCAACCCCAGAACUGCCUUUGAUACUGAGGAUCCUGAGUUCGGGAGAGGUGAGUGGAACUGCGAGUGUAGAGGUGAAAUUCGUAGAUAUUCGCAAGAACACCAGUGGCGAAGGCGGCUCACUGGCCCGAUACUGACGCUGAGGCACGAAAGCGUGGGGAGCAAACAGG
rnacentral:rRNA from 1 species